UGAGGAAUAUUGGUCAAUGGGGGCAACCCUGAACCAGCCAAGUCGCGUGAAGGAUGAAGGUCUUAUGGAUUGUAAACUUCUUUUACACGGGAAUAAAGUGGGGGACGUGUCCCCCUUUGCAUGUACCGUGUGAAUAAGGAUCGGCUAACUCCGUGCCAGCAGCCGCGGUAAUACGGAGGAUCCGAGCGUUAUCCGGAUUUACUGGGUUUAAAGGGUGCGUAGGUGGGCUUAUAAGUCAGUGGUGAAAUCUCCGAGCUUAACUUGGAAACUGCCGUUGAUACUAUAGGUCUUGAAUUAUCUGGAGGUAAGCGGAAUAUGUCAUGUAGCGGUGAAAUGCUUAGAUAUGACAUAGAACACCAAUUGCGAAGGCAGCUUACUACAUAUAAAUUGACGCUGAGGCACGAAAGCGUGGGGAUCAAACA
rnacentral:rRNA from 1 species